rnacentral:rRNA from 1 species
AACGAACGCUGGCGGCGCGCCUAAUACAUGCAAGUCGAACGAGAAGCUGUAGCAAUACAGUUGUACAGUGGCGAACGGGUGAGGAAUACAUGGGUGACCUACCCUCGAGUGGGGAAUAACCAGCCGAAAGGUUGGCUAAUACCGCGUACGCUUCCCAGUCUACGGGUUGGGAAGGAAAGCGAUGCCGUGGGUAUCGCGCUCAAGGUUGGGCUCAUGUCCUAUCAGC